rnacentral:rRNA from 1 species
UACGGGGGGAGCAAGCGUUGUUCGGAUUUACUGGGCGUAAAGGGCGCGUAGGCGGUCAGCACAAGUCAGUUGUGAAAUCUCCGGGCUUAACUCGGAAAGGUCAACUGAUACUGUGCGACUAGAGUGCGGAAGGGGCAACUGGAAUUCUCGGUGUAGCGGUGAAAUGCGUAGAUAUCUGGAGGAACACCGGUGGCGAAGGCGGCAUCCUGGACCAACAUUGACGCUGAGGAGCGAAAGCCAGGGGAGCAAACGGG